rnacentral:rRNA from 1 species
UACGGAGGAGGCAAGCGUUAUCCGGAAUUAUUGGGCGUAAAGCGUCCGCAGGUGGACAUACAAGUCUGCUGUCAAAGUGCAGAGCUUAACUCUGUAAAGGCGGUGGAAACUGUAGGUCUUGAGUAUGGUAGGGGUAGAGGGAAUUCCCGGUGUAGCGGUGAAAUGCGUAGAUAUCGGGAAGAACACCAGUGGCGAAGGCGGCGAUCUGGGAACAUACUGACGCUGAGGUGCGAAAGCGUGGGGAGCAAACAGG